CGGGCUGUCCGGAGGGGUCGGCU
rnacentral:miRNA from 1 species